rnacentral:tRNA from 1 species
GGAGAGAUGUCCGAGUGGUUGAAGGAACCGGUCUUGAAAACCGGCGGCGCGAAUAACGCCCGUGGGUUCGAAUCCCACUCUCUCCGCCA